GGUCGCUCCAUCGUCGGAGCGACCGGAAAAUGGUGGCCGUGAAGAGAAUGCCCCGUGUUCACUCGAGGAUAUGCACUCAAGAAGCACGACUUCUCGCUGCUCUUACGGGCGAGAAUGCUUUCGAUCACCAUAUCGUUCGCUUUUACGAAGCUUUUGCGGACUAGUUUCACAUUUACUUGGUGGAAGAGGUAAUGGACCAGACCCUGGAUGCCUUCCAGAAAGCCAACGCGCUGAUGAAGUGUACCUCCGGACGGUUAUUCUCCAGGUGGCCACAGCCCUGGAUAGAUAUGGGCAUCGUUCACACUGGCAUCAAGCAGGAAAACAUCAUGCUCAUGAAUCAGCGCCGCCAGCCCUUCCAAGUAAAACGGAUCGACUUGGAGCCGCUAUUACCGCCGAUGGCCUAGCUUCAAUGUGGACGUCAGCUACAUCCAGCCCAGUAUUCAUUUAUGGCAAUGGACAGCAGCCAGGGGCCAUAUUCAUCCUCUAGGAGUGGUGAUUUGGGAUCGGUUUUCCUUGGCCCAUAGCCUGGCCUUGACCAUUGAUUAGGGCAAAGAAGGCGAAAUGGGCUACAACUUGAUCCCAGAUCACCACUAGCCUACAGUUAUGAAUUUGGCCCAGGAGAUCCAGCAGAGCUAACAGGACACUGGGAUCUAUCACCAGCUCUCUGGAAUUAGCAAUAAGAAGUCGAGUUGCCACAAAACAGCACAAGAAGCCUUACAUAAUGGAGAAAUUGUAUUCAUUUAUGGCAAUGGACAGCAGCCAGGGGCCAUAUUCAUCCUCUAGGAGUGGUGAUUUGGGAUCGGUUUUCCUUGGCCCAUAGCCUGGCCUUGACCAUUGAUUAGGGCAAAGAAGGCGAAAUGGGCUACAACUUGAUCCCAGAUCACCACUAGCCUACAGUUAUGAAUUUGGCCCAGGAGAUCCAGCAGAGCUAACAGGACACUGGGAUCUAUCACCAGCUCUCUGGAAUUAGCAAUAAGAAGUCGAGUUGCCACAAAACAGCACAAGAAGCCUUACAUAAUGGAGAAAUUGUAUUCAUUUAUGGCAAUGGACAGCAGCCAGGGGCCAUAUUCAUCCUCUAGGAGUGGUGAUUUGGGAUCGGUUUUCCUUGGCCCAUAGCCUGGCCUUGACCAUUGAUUAGGGCAAAGAAGGCGAAAUGGGCUACAACUUGAUCCCAGAUCACCACUAGCCUACAGUUAUGAAUUUGGCCCAGGAGAUCCAGCAGAGCUAACAGGACACUGGGAUCUAUCACCAGCUCUCUGGAAUUAGCAAUAAGAAGUCGAGUUGCCACAAAACAGCACAAGAAGCCUUACAUAAUGGAGAAAUUGUAUUCAUUUAUGGCAAUGGACAGCAGCCAGGGGCCAUAUUCAUCCUCUAGGAGUGGUGAUUUGGGAUCGGUUUUCCUUGGCCCAUAGCCUGGCCUUGACCAUUGAUUAGGGCAAAGAAGGCGAAAUGGGCUACAACUUGAUCCCAGAUCACCACUAGCCUACAGUUAUGAAUUUGGCCCAGGAGUUCCAGCAGAGCUACCAGGACACUGGGAUACAUGAGCAGCUCUCUCUCUCUGAACUCAUUGAUGAGCAACAAGAAUUCAAGUAGUCACAAAACAGCUCAAGAAGCAUUACAUGAUGGAGAAUAUGGAGACACUCAUGCCCACCCACAUCUUUGUGUCAAUCCCUCCCAAACCUUGUCCUCUGUGACAGGAUGCAUGGCAUUACCACUCCGCCACGUGGGACGCUGUCGGACUACGCCUCCCUGGACUUCCUCCAGUUCCUUGUCAUCGCUAAGAUCUCUAAGGCAUUGGGGAUCUGUGGCAUAGUGUGACCACUUGAUUGCAUCUCUGCAGGCAGCAGCCGUUCUAUGUUACCUGUCAGCCUAUCUUUACAAUUGACACCAGGCCAGCCAGCGGAGGAUGGGCUCCCCCUCUACAACCGGGUUCCUCCCGAGAUUUCUUCCCAUUGGGGAGUUUUUUCUCGCCACAGUUUGAGUGUUUUUCAUCCCACUGGGGAUCUUACUUGCUCAUUGUCUUGGGGGUUCAGGCCUGGUGCCAACUGUCUGUAAAAAUUGCAAUUCAAAUAAAAUGGAAUUUAACUGACAACUGCAUCUUGAAA